UGCAGUCGAACGGCAGCAUGAUCUAGCUUGCUAGAUUGAUGGCGAGUGGCGAACGGGUGAGUAAUACAUCGGAACGUGCCCUGUAGUGGGGGAUAACUAGUCGAAAGAUUAGCUAAUACCGCAUACGACCUGAGGGUGAAAGUGGGGGACCGCAAGGCCUCAUGCUAUAGGAGCGGCCGAUGUCUGAUUAGCUAGUUGGUGGGGUAAAGGCCCACCAAGGCGACGAUCAGUAGCUGGUCUGAGAGGACGAUCAGCCACACUGGGACUGAGACACGGCCCAGACUCCUACGGGAGGCAGCAGUGGGGAAUUUUGGACAAUGGGCGAAAGCCUGAUCCAGCAAUGCCGCGUGUGUGAAGAAGGCCUUCGGGUUGUAAAGCACUUUUGUCCGGAAAGAAAUGGCUCUGGUUAAUACCUGGGGUCGAUGACGGUACCGGAAGAAUAAGGACCGGCUAACUACGUGCCAGCAGCCGCGGUAAUACGUAGGGUCCAAGCGUUAAUCGGAAUUACUGGGCGUAAAGCGUGCGCAGGCGGUUGUGCAAGACCGAUGUGAAAUCCCCGAGCUUAACUUGGGAAUUGCAUUGGUGACUGCACGGCUAGAGUGUGUCAGAGGGGGGUAGAAUUCCACGUGUAGCAGUGAAAUGCGUAGAGAUGUGGAGGAAUACCGAUGGCGAAGGCAGCCCCCUGGGAUAACACUGACGCUCAUGCACGAAAGCGUGGGGAGCAAACAGGAUUAGAUACCCUGGUAGUCCACGCCCUAAACGAUGUCAACUAGUUG
rnacentral:rRNA from 1 species